rnacentral:lncRNA from 1 species
GCUAUCUUUAAAUGUCAAUUAGUUGCCAUCAGAAGCGUUAUCUGAACAAACAACAAUAACAACACAAUAGCUAUAUAUAUUACACAUUAAAUGAAACUAUGCUAAAAAAAAAAAAAACUUUUUAAAUUAUUAUUGUGACAUAUAGCUUACACUUAGUAAGAGCCACACAUAAAAUCUCUUGUCUUCCGUUUUAGGUUUCUCAAAAGUCAGAGUCAGAAUUCUACAAUUACCUCGAUAAUUCAAAUCCAGCAGCAGCAC